UACGAGUGGGUCGAGCGUUAUCCGGAAUUAUUGGGCGUAAAGGGCGCGUAGGCGGCGUUGUUAGUCUCCUGUUAAAUUCCUCGGCUCAACCGGGGGCGUGCGGGAGAAACGGCAAUGCUUGAGGUUGGUAGGGGUUUCUGGAACUCUAAGUGUAGCGGUGAAAUGCGUUGAUAUUUAGGGGAACACCAAAAGCGAAGGCAGGAAACUGGGCCAUACCUGACACUGAAACACGAAAGCGUGGGUAGCGAAUGGG
rnacentral:rRNA from 1 species